rnacentral:tRNA from 1 species
GGAGAGGUGCCGGAGCGGUUGAACGGGAUGGCCUCGAAAGUCAUUAGGGGCUUACGCCCCUCGGGGGUUCGAAUCCCCCCCUCUCCG